GACGUAGGUGGCGAACGUUAUCCGGAAUUAUUGGGCGUAAAGGGUGCGUAGCUGGUUUGAUAAGUUAGUGGUGGGAAAUCGAGGCUCAACCUCGUGGAAGUCACUAAUACUAUCAAACUAGAGUGCAGGAGAGGUUAACGGAACUCCAUGUGUAGCGGUAAAAUGCGACGAUAUAUGGAUGAACACCAAUAACGGCGAAGGCAGUUAACUAUUCUGCUACUGACAUUGAGGCACGAAAGCGUGGGGAGCAAAACGG
rnacentral:rRNA from 1 species